AGAGGGACUUGAACCCUCACGAUUUUGAAAGUCGACGGAUUUUCCUCUUA
rnacentral:tRNA from 1 species